AUUGAACGCUGGCGGCAGGCCUAACACAUGCAAGUCGAACGGUAACAGGAAGCAGCUUGCUGCUUUGCUGACGAGUGGCGGACGGGUGAGUAAUGUCUGGGAAACUGCCUGAUGGAGGGGGAUAACUACUGGAAACGGUAGCUAAUACCGCAUAACGUCGCAAGACCAAAGAGGGGGACCUUCGGGCCUCUUGCCAUCAGAUGUGCCCAGAUGGGAUUAGCUAGUAGGUGGGGUAACGGCUCACCUAGGCGACGAUCCCUAGCUGGUCUGAGAGGAUGACCAGCCACACUGGAACUGAGACACGGUCCAGACUCCUACGGGUGGCAG
rnacentral:rRNA from 1 species